GAGAGAGGGAGGGUUGGGGAGAACGAGGAAAGGAGAAAUGGACAUACAGUUGAAGUCGGAAGUUUACAUACACUUAGGAGGGACUGGUGCACUUCACAAUAUAGAUGGCAUCAUGAGGGAGGAAAAUGAUGUGGAUAUAUUGAAGCAACAUCUCAAGACAUCAGUCAGGAAGUUGAAGCUUGGUCGCAAAUGGGUCUUCUAAAUGGACAAUGACCCCAAGCAUACUUCCAAAGUUGUGGCAAAAUGGCUUAAGGACAACAAAGUCAAGGUAUUGGAGUGGCCAUCACAAAGCCCUGACCUCAAUCCUAUAGCAAAUUUGUCGGCAGAACUGAAAAAGCAUGUGCGAGCAAGGAGGCCUACAAACCUGACUCAGUUACACCAGCUCUGUCAGGAGGAGUGGACCAAAAUUCACCCAACUUAUUGUGGGAAGCUUGUGGAAGGCUACCCGCAACGUUUGACCCAAGUUAAACAAUUUUAAGGCAAUGCAACCAAAUACUAAUUGUGUGUAUGUCAACUUCUGACCCACUGGAAUGUGAUGAAAUAAAUAAAAGCUGAAAUAAA